GACGAACGCUGGCGGCGUGCUUAACACAUGCAAGUCGAACGGAAAGGCCCUGCUUUUGUGGGGUGCUCGAGUGGCGAACGGGUGAGUAACACGUGAGUAACCUGCCCUUGACUUUGGGAUAACUUCAGGAAACUGGGGCUAAUACCGGAUAGGAGCUCCUGCUGCAUGGUGGGGGUUGGAAAGUUUCGGCGGUUGGGGAUGGACUCGCGGCUUAUCAGCUUGUUGGUGGGGUAGUGGCUUACCAAGGCUUUGACGGGUAGCCGGCCUGAGAGGGUGACCGGCCACAUUGGGACUGAGAUACGGCCCAGACUCCUACGGGAGGGAGCAGUGGGGAAUAUUGCACAAUGGGCGGAAGCCUGAUGCAGCAACGCCGCGUGCGGGAUGACGGCCUUCGGGUUGUAAACCGCUUUCGCCUGUGACGAAGCGUGAGUGACGGUAAUGGGUAAAGAAGCACCGGCUAACUACGU
rnacentral:rRNA from 1 species